CCUUCUCUUUCUCUCCCGGAGGCCACGGUUGUCCGCUCCUCCCCGGGGUUGUCGUGGGCUGCCUUUGCCACAGACUUGCCUGGGCUGUCUCCGUUCAGCCCCGUUCUCCCUCCUGGUGUGGGCGACCUGGGACUGGUGGACGUUUACUGGCUUUGAACAGGAGCUGCUGUGGGUGAAGAUUAAGAUGCUUGAAAAACGUGAAACAGCCAGAGAACAACAUCAAGGUGAUUGAGCCAGAAGGUGCUUCCUGCGGCAGGGAAGAGACAGCCAAGCAUUUCUGGGUGGAGGAUGGUCAAGUGACCAGCGCUGCAGAAGAGGAAGGGACAGAGAAAGAGAGAGGCACCUGAACUGGAAAAUUCUGUGGGCAGCGCUGAAAGCAGGAGCUGCGAAUGCCAGCUGCCAGCGUUUCUCCGUGGUCGCCCUUCCUUCUGCCGUGAUGGUACAGGACAGACGGAAAGAAUCCGGAGUGCUCUGCGAGU